UACGGAGGGUGCAAGCGUUGUCCGGAUUUAUUGGGCUUAAAGGGUGCGCAGGCGGCCCGUUAAGUCAGCGGUGAAAUACUUCGGCUCAACCGAAGAGGUGCCGUUGAUACUGACAGGCUUGAGCACGGUUGAGGUAUGCGGAAUUGACGGUGUAGCGGUGAAAUGCAUAGAUACCGUCAGGAACACCAAUUGCGUAGGCA
rnacentral:rRNA from 1 species